GAUGAACGCUGGCGGCGUGCUUAACACAUGCAAGUCGAACGAAACACCUUAUUUGAUUUUCUUCGGAACUGAAGAUUUGGUGAUUGAGUGGCGGACGGGUGAGUAACGCGUGGGUAACCUGCCCUGUACAGGGGGAUAACAGUCAGAAAUGACUGCUAAUACCGCAUAAGACCACAGCACCGCAUGGUGCAGGGGUAAAAACUCCGGUGGUACAGGAUGGACCCGCGUCUGAUUAGCUGGUUGGUGAGGUAACGGCUCACCAAGGCGACGAUCAGUAGCCGGCUUGAGAGAGUGAACGGCCACAUUGGGACUGAGACACGGCCCAAACUCCUACGGGAGGCAGCAGUGGGGAAUAUUGCACAAUGGGGGAAACCCUGAUGCAGCGACGCCGCGUGAGUGAAGAAGUAUCUCGGUAUGUAAAGCUCUAUCAGCAGGGAAGAAAAUGACGGUAC
rnacentral:rRNA from 1 species